GGACAACCUACCCUGAGGUCGGGGAUAAACCCGGGAAACUGGGUAUAAUACCCGAUAGAUCUAGAUUGCUGGAAUGCUUUUAGGUCUAAAGUUCCGACGCCUCAGGAUGGGUCUGCGGCCUAUCAGGGUAGUAGUGGGUGUAAAGUACCUACUAGCCUACGACGGGUACGGGUUGUGAGAGCAAGAGCCCGGAGAUGGAUUCUGAGACACGAAUCCAGGCCCUACGGGGUGCAGCAGGCGCGAAACCUUUACAAUGCUGGCAACAGCGAUAAGGGGACCUCGAGUGCUACGAUACAAUCGUGGCUGUCUAGUUGCCUAAAAAGCAAUUGAUAGCAAGGGCCGGGCAAGACCGGUGCCAGCCGCCGCGGUAACACCGGCGGCUCGAGUGGUAACCGCUAUUAUUGGGUCUAAAGGGUCUGUAGCCGGCUUAGUUAGUCUCUUGAGAAAUCUGGCCGCUCAACGGUCAGGCGUUCAGGGGAUACUGCUAAAGCUCGAGACCGGGAGAGGUGAGAGGUACUUCAGGGGUAGGGGUGAAAUCUUGUAAUCCUUGAAGGACCACCAGUGGCGAAGGCGUCUCACCAGAACGGAUCUGACGGCAAGGGACGAAAGCUAGGGGCACUAACCGGAUUAGAUACCCGGGUAGUCCUAGCCGUAAACGAUACUCGCUAGGUGUCGGCCACGGUGCGACCGUGGUCGGUGCCGUAGGGAAGCCGUGAAGCGAGCCACCUGGGAAGUACGGCCGCAAGGCUGAAACU
rnacentral:rRNA from 1 species